AUUGAACGCUGGCGGCAUGCCUAACACAUGCAAGUCGAACGGCAGCACGGCAGUAGCAAUACUGUGGGUGGCGAGUGGCGGACGGGUGAGGAAUACGUCGGAAUCUGCCCAAUCGUGGGGGAUAACUAACCGAAAGGUUAGCUAAUACCGCAUACGACCGAGAGGUGAAAGCGGGGGACCGCAAGGCCUCGCGCGAUUGGAUGAGCCGACGUCGGAUUAGCUUGUUGGUGGGUAAAGGCCUACCAAGGCAACGAUCCGUAGCUGGUCUGAGAGGAUGAUCAGCCACACUGGAACUGAGACACGGUCCAGACUCCUACGGGAGGCAGCAGUGGGGAAUAUUGGACAAUGGGCGGAAGCCUGAUCCAGCAAUGCCGCGUGUGUGAAGAAGGCCUCGGUUGUAAGUAC
rnacentral:rRNA from 1 species